rnacentral:ncRNA from 1 species
GCGUGCGUCCGAGGGAUCGCCGGCGUUCGGGCCGGGGCUCAGGGUCGAGAGCCAAUCCCUCGGACUUUGC